ACGACGCUGGCGGCGUGCCUAACACAUGCAAGUCGAACGGAGUCAAGAAGCUUGCUUUUGACUAGUGGCGGACGGGUGAGUAACGCGUGAGUAACCUGCCUCUGAGAGGGGAAUAACGUUCUGAAAAGAACGCUAAUACCGCAUAACGUAUUGAAGCCGCAUGACUUUGAUACCAAAGAUUUUAUCGCUCGGAGAUGGACUCGCGUCCGAUUAGUUAGUUGGUGAGGUAACGGCUCACCAAGACCGCGAUCGGUAGCCGGACUGAGAGGUUGAUCGGCCACAUUGGGACUGAGACACGGCCCAGACUCCUACGGGAGGCAGCAGUGGGGGAUAUUGCGCAAUGGGGGCAACCCUGAACCGCAGCAACGCCGCGUGAAGGAUGAAGGUUUUCGGAUUGUAAACUUCUUUUAUCAGGGACGAAAUCUGACGGUACCUGAUGAAUAAGCUCCGGCUAACUACGUGCCAGCCGCCGC
rnacentral:rRNA from 1 species